rnacentral:rRNA from 1 species
UACGUAGGGGCUAGCGUUAUCCGGAAUUACUGGGCGUAACGGGUGCGUAGGUGGUUUCUUAAGUCAGAGGUGAAAGGCUACGGCUCAACCGUAGUAAGCCUUUGAAACUGGGAAACUUGAGUGCAGGAGAGGAGAGUGGAAUUCCUAGUGUAGCGGUGAAAUGCGUAGAUAUUAGGAGGAACACCAGUGGCGAAGGCGGCUUCCUGGUCUGUAACUGACACUGAGGCGCGAAAGCGUGGGGAGCAAACAGGAUUAGAUACCCUGGUAGUCCCUGAGCGGG